AUUGAACGCUGGCGGCAGGCCUAACACAUGCAAGUCUACCGAGUGGCGGACGGGUGACUAAUGUCUGGGAAACUGCCCGAUGUAGGCGUUUAACUACCGGAAACGUUAGCUCAUACCGCAUCCCAUCGGAUGUGCCCAGAUGUGAUUGAUUAGUAGGUGGGGUGACGGCUCACCUAGGCGACGAUCCCUAGCUGGUCUGAGAUGAUGACCAGCCACACUGGAACUGAGACACGGUCCAAACUCCUACGGGAGGCAACAGUGGGGAAUAUUGAACAAUGGGCACAGACCUGAUGCAGCCGUGCCGCGUGUAUGAAGAAGGCCUUCGGGUUGUAAAGUACAUUCAGCGAGGAUGCGUUACUCGCAGAAGAAGCACCGGCGAACUCCGUGCCAGCAGCCGCGGUAAUUC
rnacentral:rRNA from 1 species